rnacentral:hammerhead_ribozyme from 1 species
GCACUGCUGAGGAGUCCCACAAUAGGACGAAACAUNAAACAUCCGUCCAGUGC